rnacentral:tRNA from 1 species
GCCGCCUUAGCUCAGUGGUAGAGCACUUCCAUAGCAAGGAAGUAAUCGAAUUUGAGUCUAGGUGGCA